rnacentral:rRNA from 1 species
AACGAACGCUGGCGGCAGGCUUAACACAUGCAAGUCGAGCGAGACCUUCGGGUCUAGCGGCGGACGGGUGAGUAACGCGUGGGAACGUGCCCUUCUCUACGGAAUAGCCCCGGGAAACUGGGAGUAAUACCGUAUACGCCCUUUGGGGGAAAGAUUUAUCGGAGAAGGAUCGGCCCGCGUUGGAUUAGGUAGUUGGUGGGGUAAUGGCCCACCAAGCCGACGAUCCAUAGCUGGUUUGAGAGGAUGAUCAGCCACACUGGGACUGAGACACGGCCCAGACUCCUACGGGAGGCAGCAGUGGGGAAUCUUAGACAAUGGGGGCAACCCUGAUCUAGCCAUGCCGCGUGAGUGAUGAAGGCCUUAGGGUUGUAAAGCUCUUUCAGCUGGGAAGAUAAUGACGGUACCAGCAGAAGAAGCACCGGCUAACUCCGUG